rnacentral:ncRNA from 1 species
GACACGGGGUGCCCCAAGGGCUGAGAUAAUACCCGAUAACCUGAUCUGGAUAAUGCCAGCGGAGGAAUGUCA